UGCAUUCACUUGUGUAAGUCGCUCUGGAUAAGAGCGUCUGCUAAAUGACUAAAA
rfam:Salmo salar isolate Sally breed double haploid chromosome ssa23, whole genome shotgun sequence.